AAGUCGUAACAAGGUUUCCGUAGGUGAACCUGCGGAAGGAUCAUUAACGAGUUUUGAAAGGAGUUGUCGCUGGUCUCUUUACCGAGGCAAUGUGCACGCUCUGCUCAUCCACUCUUAAACUUUUGUGCACUUAUUGUAAGAUGGUGAAAGGUUGAACAAUUUAUUUUGUUCGAUUGGAAGCCUUCUUAUGUUUUAUUAAAAACGCUUCAGUUAUAGAAUGUCAAUUUGCGGUUAACGCAUUUAUAUACAACUUUCAGCAACGGAUCUCUUGGCUCUC
rnacentral:misc_RNA from 1 species